CUACGAUUAAAGUCAUAAAAUAGAUUUUUCUCAAAUAAACAAGUUGGAAUUAGUGUUUUGUUUUGAGACACUCUACUAGUACACGAAGUUUCAAAUUGUUUAGUUAACUAGAAAGAUCUGCGGUCCAGGCGACGAAAAUGAAAAGAUCCAACAGCUGCAAUAAUGAU